rnacentral:sRNA from 1 species
UUGAUAGCUCUGGAGAUUGGCAAUCUAGCUAGAAAACAAGCAGCAGAAGUGUAGGCUUCCCCCACAGACAGGCCUCACCCCUGACCUAGAGGGACCACCUCUAAGGGUCAGAGGGCAGUUCAGUCUGACCAAUUUAAUCCUUGGCGCCU